UCAAGAUUCAUGGUGAUUUUGC
rnacentral:siRNA from 1 species